rnacentral:lncRNA from 1 species
GGACCCAGAGGUGAAGUGAUUUUUCCACAGUCCCACCAACAGAUAUGGCCAAACCAGGGAUCCUUUUGCAUUGUGAGACUCUAUUUGACUGAACUGCAAAGAAGAUCAUCUGAUGUCACAGUUGAAUCUAUCCAUGGACCAUAUCAUUUGAGUGAUAUUAUGACCAGUCACCAGGCCUCUCCAGUUCUCUGGGUUCUACUCACACCCUCUAUGCCAGUAUCACAGAAGUAAUGGCACUCUAUGAGAUUACGACUCUAUCUUAUUCCCUAAAGGUGAGCAACCAGAGGUGGGCUUGUGCUUUUCCCUCCUGUGUUCUCAGGAGCUAGCAUAGGGAGUGACAGAGGAGAAUGCACAGAAGUUGCAUGUUGAAUGUUGAAUUAGUACCAGGAGCAUA